AUUACUAAACCCACUUCUUCCCCUCUCUCUUCAUCUUUUCUAAAAAGAUUACCCCCUUAAUAACCACACACAAUUUGGGGCUGCAGGGGAUCAGGUGCUGAUCUCCGGUCAACUAAAUGGCGACUUCCGGUGGCCGCCGAAUGGGUUUGCUUUGGCCCCAUUUGGUCGUGGCUGUAGCCUUGGCUAUCUUUGCAUCCAAUGUGGGUUCUGUGGCUGGUGAUGCUGCCUACGUUUACUCCUCUCCUCCUCCUCCGUAUGAGUACAAAUCGCCGCCACCUCCUUCCCCGUCACCUCCUCCUCCUUACGUUUACAAGUCGCCGCCACCACCUUCACCGUCCCCUCCGCCACCUUACGNNNNNNNNNNNNNNNNNNNCCCCGCACCCUGAGUAUGACAACUCUCCUCCCCCCCCAUCCCCGUCACCUCCCCCACCUUACGAGUACAAGUCUCCUCCUCCUCCUUCACCGUCACCACCGCCACCUUACGAGUACAAGUCUCCCCCUCCUCCUUCACCGUCACCACCGCCACCAUACGAGUAUAAGUCUCCCCCUCCUCCUUCACCGUCACCUCCGCCACCUUACGAAUACAAAUCUCCACCACCUCCAUCGCCGUCACCACCGCCACCAUACUACUACAAGUCGCCGCCGCCGCCUUCACCCUCUCCUCCUCCACCAUACUACUACAAAUCUCCACCACCUCCGUCUCCAUCGCCACCACCACCAUACCACUACUCUUCUCCACCACCACCUAAAAAAUCACCUCCACCACCGUAUUAUUACAAAUCUCCACCACCACCUUCGCCAUCUCCACCGCCACCUUAUCACUACUCUUCUCCACCGCCACCAAAGAAAUCACCUCCUCCGCCAUACUACUACAAAUCUCCACCACCACCUUCACCAUCUCCUCCACCACCUUACCACUACUCCUCUCCACCACCACCUAAGAAAUCACCUCCACCACCAUACUACUACAAGUCUCCACCACCACCUUCACCCUCUCCUCCACCACCGUACUACUAUAAGUCUCCGCCGCCACCAUCACCCUCUCCUCCGCCACCAUACUACUAUAAAUCCCCGCCGCCACCAUCCCCAUCUCCUCCACCACCGUACUACUACAAGUCCCCACCACCACCUUCACCGUCUCCACCACCACCAUACUACUACAAAUCUCCACCGCCGCCAUCACCAUCACCUCCCCCACCAUACUACUACAAAUCCCCACCACCACCCGCAAAAUCUCCCCCACCACCACCGUACUACUACAAGUCUCCGCCACCACCCAAGGCUUACCCUCCUCCUUACCACUACACAUCACCGCCGCCGCCGGCAGUCUAUCCCCAUGAGCUGACUAUCAAGGUUGUCGGAAAAGUGUAUUGCUAUAGAUGUUAUGACUGGGCUUACCCAACGAAGUCACACGACAAGAAGCAC
rnacentral:lncRNA from 1 species